CCAGCAAUGGCUGCUCACUGAAAUCAUUCAUGGAUCCUCUACAGACAUGAUUCGUUUUCUUCGUCGCAUUCACUGCAUAUAAUGUACGUUUAUUUGCCAGAAACUGUACAUUUAACAGAAGACGUAAGGUGAUUCGAUAAAUUUCCGCGCGAGACAAAAUACUGUUCGUUUGCACUGAUUGUUAGUAAUGUUUUCAGCUAAGUUAGCGCGUGAUGUUUAACAAAGCUACAAUAUCAAAAAUCACUGAUCUAAGCGGCAUUUUUUUGUUAUUUUUAGAAUCGAACUAAUAAUCAUAUGAAAGAAGAGGUGUUUUAGAGAUGUUUUGUGUUGGCGGUAAAGUUAAAUAUUACAUAAUCUGCUUAACUACAAAUGCAGUUCUAGUAAGAAUGACUACACAAUUUCUAGGUGACUGUAAACAAGCCAAUAAAGACUCUCUAAAGGUUCUAUUAGAUUUAGACAUAGAAGUUAUUCUUUGAUGUCAUUGUAAUGUAUGAUAUUACCAGUUUUAAGAUUGUUGGUUCCAGAAUGAAGUUGUCCAUAGUUCAUCAGAAUGCCUGCAGGUCAAAGUGAUGUGUAAGCUAAGACCAAAGCUCGCUUUGAUGAGGUGUUGAAGAGUUAACACAAACCCAGAAGCCAAACAGAUCAUUGACCAGUCUCAGGAAAUCAUUGUGCUUCAAACCUUGAAGAAGAACCUAGAUUUGAGUAAAGAUACUGAAGAUGAUGAAGCUAUCCUCCAUAACACAUAUGAUCCAGCUCAGGGCAGCCCUAGAUUCACCAAAAACAGGCGCAGAGAGAGAGAAGCAUCAGAAAAGACCAACAUAAACAAUGCCGUAAGCGAGAAGGAACCAGCGCUGACCGGUGGGAAAAAGAAAAGCAAAAGGAAGCUCCCACAACCACCAGCUCUUGUACAAGAUAAAGAAGACCACGAAAGGAGGACUAAGACAAAGAUUGAUGGAAAACACACUAGGAAGACUAGAAAAGGAAAGUGUCACAGUGUCUGGGUUGUGUUCCCUGGGGUUCCACUAGAUGUCCUCCUUUCUCACGGUGUCUGUCACCAGAUCACUUCCUGUUCCCUUAUUUGGUCACCUUCCUCCUUGUUGUGUAAUUGAUUGUUUCCCCACCUGUCUCCUGUUUCCUCAUUAUCCUUCUGUGUAUAAAUACCCAGUCUGUCUUAGUCUGUGUUACGGAGUCCUUGUCUAAUGUCUUUGCGUCUUACAGGUCCGUCAACUCUUGCCCUUGUCUUGCCUUGUGUUCGUGUCUUGUUUAUGUGGAUUGAUGUUUUGGUUUCGACCCCUGCCUGGACUGUUUACCCCGAUUGGAAUACCCCUAUUAAACUUACAUACCUGCACUUGGUUCUCUCUCCUCGUUUCUGCAACACCGAACGUGACAGAAAGAGUAAAAAUGGAAAUGAUGUCAGUAGACAGAAGGAAGAGACAGAGACAGAAGAUUAUUAUCUGCAGGCGUAUCAACAUCAGAUCUCACAAGAGGAAGAGAAGAAAGCUGCAGAGAGCCAGCUGCUAAACAAUGAGUUGGAGAAGAUGAAGGAGAAGGUGAAAUCAAACAAACAUGAUGGUGACAGAAGCGUAUAAUGGAACUGGAAGCAAGUGAACCACCGCACAGCUUCCUCUACAUGGAUGAAGCUGGCUUCAACCUAACAAAACGUAGAAGGAGGGGUCGAACUAUCAUCGGCCACAGAGCUACGGUUGAUGUGCCAGGCCAACGGGGCGGAAACAUAACCAUGGGUUGUGCAAUCGUGUGCCAACGCAUAUUCCCAUUAUUGGGCCAUACAAUACAGAGCUUGUCACCAUUUUAGACACUCUCUACAGGGAUCUCAUCCCUGAACAAGAGAGGGGUCAGAUUGGAGAUCACCUGCCAAAGUAUGUGAUCGUUAGGGACCACGUCAGUUUCCAUCAUUCCAACAUCAUCAGGCAAUGGUUUGCUGCCCAUGACAGGAUGCUGAUGGAGUUCCUCCCACCCUACUCUCCAUUCCUUAAACCCAUUUAGGAAUUUUUUUCAGCAUUUAGAUGGAAAGUAUAUGAUCAUCAGCCACAUACACAAAUGACCCUUGUGGCUGCCAUGGAUGCAGCAUGUGACGACAUCACAGCAGAUGCCUGUAGAGGCUGGAUAAGACACUCAAAAAGAUGCAUUGCAAGAGAAGAUGUUCGUUGUGAUGUGGAUGAGAAUUUGUGACCCAACAGACAGGAUCGUCAAGAGGUGUAGGAAGAUUGCAAUUCCUUACUUUAAUUUCUACAGCAUGCAUGUACAGUUUUUCCUAUGUUCACAUUUCUUCUUUAGGUUUUUUUUUUGUGUGCUAUUCAGUGCUGUC